rnacentral:rRNA from 1 species
GACAGAGGCCUCGAGCGUUAGGCGGAAUCACUGGGCUUAAAGCGUGUGUAGGCGGAUCGUUAAGUGCCUUGUGAAAUCCCACGGCUUAACUGUGGAACGGCUGGGCAUACUGGCGGUCUUGAGCCAUCUAGGGGCGACUGGAACAAACGGUGGAGCGGUGAAAUGCGUAGAUAUCUGGAAGAACACCGGUGGCGCAAGCGGAUUGCUGGGCCAUAACUGACACUGAGGAACGAAAGCUAGGGUAGCGAAUGGG